GCGAACGCUGGCGGCAGGCCUAAUACAUGCAAGUCGAGCGGUCCCUUCGGGGGCAGCGGCGGACGGGUGAGUAACGCGUGGAACGUGCCCUUUGGUACGGAACAACUGAGGGAAACUUCAGCUAAUACCGUAUGUGCCCUUCGGGGGAAAGAUUUAUCGCCAUUGGAGCGGCCCGCGUUAGAUUAGCUAGUUGGUAGGGUAAUGGCCUACCAAGGCGACGAUCUAUAGCUGGUCUGAGAGGAUGAUCAGCCACACUGGGACUGAGACACGGCCCAGACUCCUACGGGAGGCAGCAGUAGGGAAUCUUGCGCAAUGGGCGAAAGCCUGACGCAGCCAUGCCGCGUGAAUGAUGAAGGUCUUAGGAUUGUAAAAUUCUUUCACCGGGGACGAUAAUGACAGUACCCGGAGAAAAAGCCCCGGCUAACUUCGUGCCAGCAGCCGCCGUAAGAC
rnacentral:rRNA from 1 species